UACGUAGGGUGCGAGCGUUGCCCCGGAUUUAUUGGGCGUAAAGGGCGCGUAGGCGGCCACGCACGUCCGUUGUGAAAUCGCCCGGCUCAACUGGGCGGGGUCAGCGGAUACGGUGUGGCUCGAGCAAGCUAGGGGGCAAUGGAAUUCCCGGUGUAGUGGUGGAAUGCGUAGAUAUCGGGAGGAACACCAGUGGCGAAGGCGGUUGCCUGGAGCUUUGCUGACGCUGAGGCGCGAAAGCGUGGGGAGCGAUCCGG
rnacentral:rRNA from 1 species